GACGAACGCUGGCGGCGUGCUUAACACAUGCAAGUCGAGCGGAAAGGCCACUUCGGUGGUACUCGAGCGGCGAACGGGUGAGUAACACGUGAGUAAUCUGCCCCUGGCUUUGGGAUAGCCACCGGAAACGGUGAUUAAUACCGGAUACGACCACUUCCCGCAUGGGAUGGUGGUGGAAAGUUUUUUCGGCCAGGGAUGUGCUCGCGGCCUGUCAGCUUGAUGGUGAGGUAAUGGUUCACCAUGGCUUCGACGGGUAGCCGGCCUGAGAGGGUGACCGGUCACACUGGGACUGAGACACGGCCCAGACUCCUACGGGAGGCAGCAGUGGGGAAUAUUGGACAAUGGGCGGAAGCCUGAUCCAGCAACGCCGCGUGAGGGAUGACGGCCUUCGGGUUGUAAACCUCUUUCAGCAGGGACGAAGCGCAAGUGACGGUACCUGCAGAAGAGGCACCGGCCAACUACGUGCCAGCAGCCGCCGUAA
rnacentral:rRNA from 1 species